rnacentral:rRNA from 1 species
GACGAACGCUGGCGGCGUGCUUAACACAUGCAAGUCGAACGGAAAGGCCCUGCUUUUGUGGGGUGCUCGAGUGGCGAACGGGUGAGUAACACGUGAGUAACCUGCCCUUGACUUUGGGAUAACUUCAGGAAACUGGGGCUAAUACCGGAUAGGAGCUCCUGCUGCAUGGUGGGGGUUGGAAAGUUUCGGCGGUUGGGGAUGGACUCGCGGCUUAUCAGCUUGUUGGUGGGGUAGUGGCUUACCAAGGCUUUGACGGGUAGCCGGCCUGAGAGGGUGACCGGCCACAUUGGGACGGAGAUACGGCCCAGACUCAUAAGGGAGGCAGCAGUGGGGAAUAUUGCACAAUGGGCGGAAGCCUGAUGCAGCAACGCAGCGUGCGGGAUGAAGGCCUUCGGGUUGUAAACCGCUUUCGCCUGUGACGAAGCGUGAGUGACGGUAAUGGGUAAAGAAGCACCGGCUAACUACGUG